GUCAGCGUUGCCUAAGCAACCCGGGCACUCUCGGGGAGUUAGUGGACCGCCGACCUGUGACCGGAGCUUUCGUUAGAUCGUCACCUGUACCUGCGAAAAAGCCCAAACUUAGCCUCGUUUAAGACAUACCACAGACGCUGGACUCUUCUGAAAAACCUGUCACGUCGGCUUGGUCUCUCUUGCUUGUAAACAUUGAUAACUGACAUGCAGACUGGGGUGGAGAGAAGAUAAACAACUUGCUCAGACAUACGGUAAAAGGUUGGAAUAUACCAAUAAAUAUGCUGUUGCUGCUUUAACAAGCCACUUCCUUUUGUUGCCAUAUUCAACCAAAAUGUAGAUUGCUAUAGCCUAAGAAACCACGUUGGACUAAAGUGGUGAGAACCAAAAUCCUUGUCUUGCUCCUGAUCUUAGGAGGAAAGCUUUCAGUCUUUCACCAUUUGUUUUCAGUCUUCACCAUACGAUUUUCUGAACACCUUCCUGUGAAUUACUGGUGCUAUUCUUGUACCUUGAAGGUGAAGGAAAGACUGGCUUUAACUAUGUUUGUUCAAGUGUCCCCAGGCUGGAACUUCUUCAUCCUGAGGCCCUCAGGUCUGCUAGACCAGAAGCUGAAUAAGCGUUCCUUCUUUGAGAGGUGUCUCUCCCUGAGCAGGAGCAAAGCCUAGUGGACGACUCUAAACCCCUGGGGAAAAGUUAUGAAGAGUUUGGAGAAGUCACCAAAGAUCAAUAAAUGCUGUCUUGUUCAUAAAGACUUUC
rnacentral:lncRNA from 1 species